AUGGGCAUCCUCGGCGUGUCGCAGACGACGCUGCUUGUUUCCGGCAAUAACGUCCUGACGAUGGCGGCGCUGCUGAUGACGGGCUUGGGCGUCGGUCCGCUGUACCCGAAUUUCAACUACAUGACCCCCCUGCACUUCGGCAAGGACGUCAGCCAGUCGGUCAUGGGGAUGCAGAUGACCUUCGCGUCCAUCGGCACCAUCGCAGCCCCCGCCCUCUGCGGCGUGCUGGGACAGCUCCUCGGCAUGGGCAUUUUCCCGGCGUAUUUGAUGAUAUUCUACGUCCUGACCGCCGUCGGCAUUAUCGCCCUGCGCCGCACGCUCCGGCAGGUGCCGGCCAGAGAGGGUGAAAGCCCCGUAUGGGAAAACAAAGAGGGACAAGCAGUAUCCAAAGUACCACGAGACACGAGAAACCUUGUGGGAAGUCGGGGGGACCACCCCCCAAGGCUAAAUACUCCUUAGUGACCGAUAGCGCAUAGUACUGUGAAGGAAAGGUGAAAAGGACCCCGGGAGGGGAGUGAAAGAGAACCUGAAACCCUGUGUUUACAAGCUGUGGAAGCACGUUAAGGUGCAACCGCGUACUUUUUGUAGAACGGUCCGGCGAGUUGCGGAUGCUGGCGAGGUUAAGGAGUAAAGCUCCGGAGCCGAAGCGAGAGCGAGUCUUAAUAGGGCGUAAAGUCAGCAUGUGCAGACCCGAAACCGGGUGACCUAUCCAUGUCCAGGUUGAAGUUCCCGUAAAAGGGAAUGGAGGACCGAACGCACAUCCGUUGAAAAGGGUGGCGAUGAGGUGUGGAUAGGGGAGAAAUUCCAAUCGAACCCGGAGAUAGCUGGUUCUCCUCGAAAUAGCUUUAGGGCUAGCCUCGUAUUAGUUUAGCGGAGGUAGAGCACUGAAUUUCCUAGGGGGCGUCAAAGUCUACCGAAGAAUAUCAAACUCCGAAUGCCGCAUAAAUGAUGUACGGGAGUCAGACUGCACGAGAUAAGUUGGGUAGUCAAAAGGGAAAGAGCCCAGACCUACAGCUAAGGUCCCAAAGUGUGUGUUAAGUGGAAAAGGAUGUGGGAUUUCGAAGACAACUAGGAUGUUGGCUCAGAAGCAGCCAUACAUUAAAAGAGUGCGUAAUAGCUCACUAGUCGAGAGGUCCUGCGCCGAAAAUGUCCGGGGCUGAAACACAACACCGAAGCUGCGGAACCCGCAAGGGUUGGUAGAGGAGCAUUCUUAAAGGAACGAAGCAGUACCGUAAGGAGCUGUGGACUUUUAAGAAGAGAGAAUGCCGGAAUGAGUAGCGAGAGUAAGGUGAGAAUCCUUACGGCCGAAUAUCCAAGGUUUCCAGGGUAAAGCUGAUCUGCCCUGGGGAAGUCGGGACCUAAGGCGAGGCCGAGAGGCGUAGCCGAUGGACAACAGGUUGAGAUUCCUGUACUACAGUAUGACAGAACUGUGGGGACGCAGAAGGAGAGCACUACCUGGAAUGGAAUCCAGGGGCAAGCACAGGAGGGGUACGGCUGGAAAAACCGCCGUGCAACCCAAAGGUGUGACGCAUACCGAACUAAAGUAGGGAAAUGUGUGAGCCGGCUGCCGAGAAAAGCCGCUAUUGUUUGUACUGUACCCGUACCGUAAACCGACACAGGUGGAUGAGGAGAGAAUCCUAAGGCCGACGGAAGAAGCAUUGCUAAGGAACUCGGCAAAAUGACCCUGUAACUUCGGGAGAAAGGGUGCCUCGAAAGAGGCCGCAGAGAAUAGGCCCAAGCAACUGUUUAGCAAAAACACAGGUCUAUGCAAAACCGCAAGGUGAAGUAUAUGGGCUGACGCCUGCCCGGUGCUGGAAGGUUAAGGGGAGAUGUCAGGAGACGAAGCAUCGAACUUAAGCCCCAGUAAACGGCGGCCGUAACUAUAACGGUCCUAAGGUAGCGAAAUUCCUUGUCGGGUAAGUUCCG
rnacentral:rRNA from 1 species